rnacentral:tRNA from 2 species
GCUGCUCAGGCCCAGUCAGCGGGGCAUCUGUUUGGUAUACAGAGGAUGGUGGGUGCAAUUCCCACGAGCAGCU